rnacentral:rRNA from 1 species
GACGAACGCUGGCGGCGUGCCUAACACAUGCAAGUCGAACGGAAAGGCCCUGUCUAUGUGGGGUGCUCGAGUGGAGACCGGGUGAGUAACCCGUGAGUAACCUGUCACUGACCUUGGGAUAACCUCAGGACACUGGGGCUAAUACCGGCUAGGAGCUAUCGCUGCUUGGUGGGGGCUGGUAAGUUUAGGUGGUUGGGGAUGGACUAGCGGCGUAUCAGGUUGUUGGUGGGGUAGUGGAUUACCAAGGCCAUGACGGGUUGCCGGCCUGGGAGGGUGACCUGCCAAGUUAGGACUGGGAUGAGACCCGGACUCCUACGGGAGGCAGCGGUGGGGAGUAGUACACAAGGGGCGGGACCCUGAUGCGACAACGCCGCGUGCGGGAUGACAUGCUUCGGUUUGUAUUCCGCUUUCGCCUGUGACGAGACGUUAGUGACGGUAAUGGGUGAAGAAGCACCGGCUAACUACGUG